rnacentral:rRNA from 1 species
GACGAACGCUGGCGGCGUGCUUAACACAUGCAAGUCGAACGGAAAGGCCCUGCUUUUGUGGGGUGCUCGAGUGGCGAACGGGUGAGUAACACGUGAGUAACCUGCCCUUGACUUUGGGAUAACUUCAGGAAACUGGGGCUAAUACCGGAUAGGAGCUCCUGCUGCAUGUGGGGGGUUGGAAAGUGUCGGCGGUUGGGGAUGGACUCGCGGCUUAUCAGCUUGUUGGUGGGGUAGUGGCUUACCAAGGCUUUGACGGGUAGCCGGCCUGAGAGGGUGACCGGCCACCUUGGGACUGAGAUACGGCCCAGAAUGCUACGGGAGGCAGCAGUGGGGAAUAUUGCAGAAUGGGCGGACGCCUGAUGCAGCAACGCCGCGUGCGGGAUGACGGCCUUCGGGUUGUAAACCGCUUUCGCAUGUGACGAAGCGUGAGUGACGGUAAUGGGUAAAGAAGCACCGGCUAACUACGUG